AUGGACGCGGACGCAUCAACAAUCACGCCAGAAGAGCUCGACUUUAUCCGUCAGCGAGCUUUGCGCCGCUUCGACUCAAUCGUCCCAACUGCUGGAAGAGAAGGAACUGAGAUUGCGUCGGAUAUUUUCAAGGGACGUACUCUCGCGAUUUACACGUCCGGAGGAGACUCUCAAGGUAUGAACAGCGCUGUUCGAAGUAUCACAAGAAUGGCUAUAUACUGUGGAUGUAAAGUGUAUUUGAUCUACGAAGGAUACGAAGGAAUGAUUGAAGGUGGAGAUUUCAUCAAGGAAGCCACGUGGAACACCGUUUCCGAUAUUAUUCAGCAAGGAGGAACUAUCAUUGGUUCCGCAAGAUCUUCCGAAUUCAGAACUCGUGAAGGGCGUCUCAAGGCAGCCACCAACCUGAUUAAUCGUGGAAUUGGUCGUCUUGUAUGCAUUGGUGGAGAUGGAUCUCUCACUGGAGCCAACACUUUCCGUUUGGAGUGGACCGAUCUUGUGCAAGAACUUGUGAAAAAUCAACGAGUCACUGCGGCGGCUGCGAAAAAGAUUCCUUACAUUCAAAUUGUCGGACUUGUCGGAUCCAUCGACAACGAUUUUUGUGGAACCGACAUGACGAUUGGAACCGACUCGGCACUUCAAAGAAUUAUCAGUUCUAUUGAUGCUGUAGUCGCAACUGCACAAAGUCAUCAAAGGGCUUUUGUUAUUGAGGUCAUGGGUCGCCAUUGUGGAUAUCUGGCUCUAGUUGCUGCUCUAGCUUCCGAAGCCGACUUCUGCUUCAUUCCUGAAUGGCCGGCACCGGAAAAUUGGCGUGACGUCUUGUGCGACAAACUUUCUCAAAUGAGAUCAGAGGGUCAACGUCUUAACAUCAUUAUUGUCGCCGAGGGAGCUAUUGAUCGUGAUGGAAAGGCUAUCACCGCCGAGGAUGUGAAGACUGCUGUCAAGGAGAAGCUGAAAUACGAUACACGCGUUACAAUUCUUGGACAUGUUCAACGCGGAGGUGCUCCAUCUGCUUUUGAUCGACUUCUUGGAUGUAGAAUGGGAGCAGAAGCAGUUUUUGCUCUCAUGGAGAUGACUGAGGAAUCAGAACCUUGUGUUAUCUCAAUUGACGGAAAUGUUAUGGUCCGUGUGCCACUUCUCAAGUGUGUCGAACGAACUCAAAUGGUACAGAAGGCAAUGGCGGAUAAGGACUGGACCACGGCUGUGAUGCUUCGUGGACGCAGUUUCCAGAGAAAUCUUGAAACGUACAAGUUGCUGACUAAGAUGAGAACCGUCGAAAAGGACAAUCUUUCGGAAGGACACAAAUUCAAUGUUGCUGUAAUCAACGUUGGCGCUCCAGCCGGUGGAAUGAAUGCAGCCGUCCGCUCUUAUGUUCGAAUGGCUCUCUACCAUCAGUGUACCGUGUACGGUAUUGAAGACAGUUUUGAGGGACUUGCCAAUGGGUCAUUCAAACAGUUCAAGUGGUCCGAUGUUACUAACUGGGCAAUGAACGGAGGAUCGUUCCUUGGCACACAGAAAAGUCUUCCAACUGAGAAAACUAUGCCUCAACUUGCUGCUCAACUGAAGAAGCACAAUAUUCAAGCGUUAUUGCUUGUUGGAGGAUUUGAAGCGUAUCACAGCACAAUAAUUCUUGCUGAAAAUCGCGAAAAGUAUCCCGAGUUUUGCAUUCCAAUGUGUGUCAUCCCAUGCACCAUCUCGAACAAUGUUCCAGGAACUAUGGUGUCUCUCGGAUCCGAUACCGCGAUCAAUGAGAUUUGCCAGAUGAUCGACAAAAUCAAGCAAUCUGCCACUGGUACCAAGAGAAGAGUUUUCAUUGUCGAAACAAUGGGAGGAUACUGUGGUUACCUUGCCACUCUUUCUGCGUUGAGCUCCGGUGCGGAUAAUGCGUACAUUUUUGAAGAGCCAUUCACCGUUCAAGACCUCUCCGAUGAUGUUGAUGUGAUUCUCUCAAAGAUGGAAGUUGGAGCGAAACGCUACUUGGUUGUCAGAAAUGAGUGGGCCGACAAGAACCUCACCACAGAUUUUGUGCAGAAUCUUUUUGAUUCUGAAGGAAAGAAGAACUUCACCACAAGAGUCAAUGUUCUCGGACAUGUUCAACAGGGUGGAUCUCCAACGCCGUUCGACAGAAAUAUGGGAACCAAGCUGGCCGCUCGUGCUUUGGAGUUUUUGCUCAUUCAGCUCAAGGAAAAUUUGACGGCCGAUAACAAGGUGAUCGCCAAGUCAGCCCAUACUGCGACGCUUCUUGGACUCAAAGGACGAAAGGUGGUGUUCACGCCGGUGCAAGAUCUCAAGAAGGAGACCGAUUUUGAGCAUCGUCUUCCAUCAGAGCAAUGGUUAGUGGACAAGUAGUUUGUAGAAAAAACUAUUCAAUCUCUAGACUAAAAAUAACAUAAUGGAAUACAGCAUGUCUGUAUUCUUGUUAAAUAUCUAAACCAUAAGUUUAAGGGCUAUAUGCAAUACUCGUGGAGCACGAUUUCCUCUAGCGUUAGAGCGCACUUUCUGACAUCUUACAAACUCGCGCGGUAAUUUGUUUCUAUCAAAAAUCAGUUUCUUUGGCUAGUUUUUGGCUCCUUUAGAAGAUUUUUUUUCCGAUUUAUAUUAUUGUUAUGAUUUGUUAAACAUUUUCGAUAUACAAAUCGAAAGUGUGUAAAUUUAGGAAAUUUUGGAAACUGUAUCAUAACAGUCAGUUUUUCGAUUUUAGGCCGGUAUUUGGUUGAUCAUUUUGUAGAGAAGAUGCAUAUUCAUGAAAUCCCUUGAUUACUUAUUGAUUUGAUUAGUUCUCAACAUUUAAAAUUUGAAAAAAUCACGUAGAUCUUUAUAACUGUGUAAUUUCAAAAAUCAUGAAGUUAAUCACCGCCGGAUAUGAAUUGUUUAUAAUUUCUGUGAUGACUGUUUAAAAAAAAAACUUUCGUUCUCGGCCGUAAGAGCCCAAUUUUACAUGUUUGCCAUUCGCUUAAUGUUCCUCAUAGUCAGCAAUAAUGUAAAUUAAAAAUUUGACAAUAAUUUCCGUAGAACCCAAAAAAUAUGUUUUCAAAAACUGAUUUCCUGUGGAAGCUGAUUCCCGCGUAUUCGAGAAUUUGUUAGUUGUUAGUAAGCGCGCUCUAAUGACAAUGAACGCUCCUGGACACAUUCUGCGAUAAAUUUCAAUUUAAAAAUUUCAGGUGGAUGGCUCUGCGUCCACUUCUCCGUGUUCUCGCUCGUCAUCGUUCGACCGUUGAAAGUUCUGCAAUUUUGGAAUCUGUUGAAGAAGAAAGCGCCGACUCACACAUGUUCUGA
rnacentral:misc_RNA from 1 species